rnacentral:rRNA from 1 species
CCAAAAACAUAGCCCCAUUCCACUUAUAUGGGGUGCAACCUGCUCAAUGGCUGUAAAUAAAUAAACUAAUAACAGUUAAAUAGCCGCGGUAACUCUGACCGUGAUAAAGUAGCAUAAUCACUUGUCAUUUAAUUAAUGACUGGAAUGAAUGGUUUAACAAACCCUACUCUGUCUCGAUAAGAAAUUUUAUAAAAUUGAAAUUGUAGUGAAAAUGCUACAUAAAAAUUGUAAGACGAAAAGACCCUAUCGAGCUUUA